GUCUUCCUCAUGGAGAGUCACCCUUAGGUGCUUAUUACUAAGCUGGACAUUGUUGAGAAACAAAUACAAGAUCACAUAUCUCUUCUACUGCCAUGGUCAAGACCCAGUUCACACAAAUGAUAAUGCAACAAACUUUAGCACACUGGAUUUUACAUGAAAUCUUCUGAUGUAAUAACAUGUUUCUGUUCUCAUGAAGUUUAAAUAUGUUGGUAAAAGAAUCAGUUCCCGCACUUACUCAUUUGCCUCCAUGCUGAACCAAAGUUCUUAGAAGAGAAUGUGAAAGCGAAUCAGAAGGGAUGAACACACAGGAAACCUUCCCUGACCCUUGGAAGUCAGAGAAUAGUCAACAAACUGAUUUAGGCAAUUUCACUGCUUUGAAGGUUUCAAAGAAGACUGAUUUCUGUUUGUUCAGCCACCAUUUGGAAGUGCAAAGAUCAAGAACAUCAAAAGUGUUAUCUGAGCUUUUGAAUGUGUUUGUGAAAUUGCUAAUGGAGGCAUUUCUCAGAGAUCUGCAUUGUGGCACUUUUUAUCUGUGUCAGUUUGGCAGGUGUUAUCUGAUCAAGUGAGUGGUCCUUCCGGCACGCCAAAUGCCUUCCAAACGCCUCCAAAUGCCUUCCAAAGGCAUAUGAGAGAGAAAUGAAAACUAGCCACUUCCUGUGAUUGGGAGGUAGAGUUAACCAAAGGACCUAUGAUGACUUCCUGAGGAUGUUUAGUCAGUCACUACAGUGGCUGACAGCUGGUGCAUGAAGCUUGUAGUCUACACUUCACGAGCAGCAGCAUUAAGUCCUCAAAAUCAUAAAGAAGUCCAGUCACGCUUUGUAAGAAGAACUACUUCAAUAAAGUUUAUCCGAGAGAGUCAGUC